AUUUUCUUCUUGGGUACACAAGAUUGGCCCAAUUCUAGACCCAAAAAAUGAUUUGGAAGUCCACCCAAUCCAAAUCCAACCACGUAGUGGUCCGAAUGACCAGAAAUCGGAGGCGGCAGCCUCUCUUCUCCCACUCACCCCGACCACCACUUUCUGCAGCAUGGCGUCGCCGUCCUGCUUCGAAACGCCAUCGUCUGCUCUUUCUUCUUCUUCAAAAAUAGACUGGGCCGAGAUGGUCUCGGACAAGGUGUUCUCACUCUACAACUCUCUUCCCAAGAAAGGCAAGACUCAGGGUCGCUUUCCUCGUUUCCUCUCCUUCUCAAGAAUUGGAAGUUGUCGCGUUGGGAACUGGGACCAAAUGUCUUGGGCGUUCACUCUUGAGCUCCAACGGUGAUGUCGUCAAUGAUUCCCACGCCGAGAUUAUAGCUCGAAGAUCUUUACUGAGGUUCUUCUAUGCACAGAUUCAGUGUCUUACUCAAGUUUAUAGUAAGCAAAGUGAUAGCAAUGGAAGCACACAAAUGCAAAAUGGUGAUGCCAAAAACUUGCUUUUUGAAUUGGACCCUAAUGGUGAUGGCCAAGGAAAAUACAAAUUGAGGAAGGGUUUGCAAUUACACUUGUACAUAUCACAACUACCAUGUGGGGUUGCAUCUCCGAGUUCACUGUUGUCUCCCCCAAAAGACGUCUCACCAACAGAACGGGGUUCAUCUUUGGACGAGCUUAAUGUUUCAAUAAAUGAAAAGGCUCUGCCAAAUACUAAUGGUGAUGCUUCACAACUAAUUGGCUCGGUUCAAAGAAAGCCUGGUCGUGGUGAUACGACUUUAUCAGUUAGUUGCUCUGACAAGAUGGCUCGUUGGAAUGUAGUUGGAGUUCAAGGUUUGUCAUUUGAUCUAUCAUGUACCCAAGAUAGGGCUUCAUUCAGCCAAUCUUGGAUAUGGAAACUCUGGUCUAAAUACAUACCUUGCUUCUUUUGGUCGGGCAUCCUUGAAUGUUUGAUGGUGUACCUAGACUGAGCCAGUUUGACUAAUCUUCAUGAUUAUAUUGGCCGUACUUGGUUACAUGGGCAUUACUAGUUAUAAGUUAGUUGAUGAGGUCAUACAUAUUCUUAUUUCAGGAGCUCUGCUUUCAUUCUUUCUGCAACCUGUUUACCUUUCUUCCAUUACUGUUGGACAAUCGCCUCACGGCUCUGAAAUGGUUCUUGUGGUUGAUCGCUUGAAAAAAGCGCUGCAU